UACGAAGGGGGCUAGCGUUGCUCGGAAUCACUGGGCGUAAAGGGUGCGUAGGCGGGUCUUUAAGGCAGGGGUGAAAUCCUGGAGCUCAACUCCAGAACUGCCUUUGAUACUGAAGAUCUUGAGUUCGGGAGAGGUGAGUGGAACUGCGAGUGUAGAGGUGAAAUUCGUAGAUAUUCACAAGAACACCAGUGGCGAAGGCGGCUCACUGGCCCGAUACUGACGCUGAGGCGCGAAAGCCAGGGGAGCAAACGGG
rnacentral:rRNA from 1 species